rnacentral:tRNA from 1 species
CCUGAUAGCUCAGUUGGUAAAGAAUCUGCCUGCAAUGCAGGAGACCAGACCCUGGUUCGAUUCCUGGGUCAGGA